AUCUCGGGGAUAAAAUUUGCUUACUGAAAAUGACAUUCGCUCCCUCUAUGUUUAUUACUCUGAGGGUUUUACUAACCUUUUUCAUAUUUAUUUGAAGAACACCAAUUCCUAUCUCGACUGAUGUUUUCUAUAUGUGUUCUAUAAAUAUCCCUUAUGUUCUAUAACUUAACUUAUGUUUGUGCAGUAGCAAUUAUCUUGGUUGGAAUAGAAAUAUUAGGUGUACAUACGUUAUAACAAAAUUAAAGGAUUAUAAUUGAACUCACUCAUAAAUUGCUAUAAGGAACCAGCCUCAAUAAAGAAAAAUUUGUGUACUGGCAAUUGACAUCAAUAAUUAAUUAAUAUUCGAUAUGUUACUCUACAAACAUUAAACAAUGAUAAGAAAAUACCAGUUCUUGCGAAAUAAAGAAAACAAACUUUUCAAGAUAGAUUUUUGUCUUCUUCAAUUCGAACACUUUGAAUAUUUUACAAUUUUUAAAAUUCGAUAUUGGAAAGAAUGACACCUGAACUUUCCUUCGAUCUAACACUGAAACAUAUAACUGGCAACAGAGCACAAUCGAUAUUAGAAUCGUUGAUAUCGCAGCCGGCGCAACAAUGGAUUUAAAGAUCGUCGCAACUGGUAAAACUAAUAUUUUGUUACUUUUUACCAACUAAGGAGGAUCGAUGAAUGGUGAAAUAUGUGCAAGUGGUCUUUUGGUUUGGUUUCUCUAGUUCUUUUGGUGAUUUUCUGUGCGAAUGAUAUUGGUGCGAGGAGAUCUCCGUACGAUGUUUUACAACCAGAUUCCAUAGAAUACAAGUACAUACUUAGAAAUAUACUUCCAAGGGAGAAUUCAUGGUGGAGAAGGGGAACACACCACGACAUAGACCCCAAAUCACCAGUUCUUAUUAUUCGACCAUAGAAUCAUUAUAAUUUAUUAUUAUUUAUCUUAUUUAUAUUUAUGAAUGUCAAUAAACAAUUCAUGUACCUA